rnacentral:rRNA from 1 species
GACGAACGCUGGCGGCGUGCCUAAUACAUGCAAGUUGAGCGCUGAAGGUUGGUACUUGUACCAACUGGAUGAGCAGCGCACGGGUGAGUAACGCGUGGGGAAUCUGCCUUUGAGCGGGGGACAACAUUUGGAAACGAAUGCUAAUACCGCAUAAAAACUUUAAACACAAGUUUUAAGUUUGAAAGAUGCAAUUGCAUCACUCAAAGAUGAUCCCGCGUUGUAUUAGCUAGUUGGUGAGGUAAAGGCUCACCAAGGCGAUGAUACAUAGCCGACCUGAGAGGGUGAUCGGCCACAUUGGGACGGUGACACGGCCCAAACUCCUACGGGAGGCAGCAGUAGUGAAUCUUCGGCAAUGGACGAAAGUCUGACCGAGAAACGCCGCGUGAGUGAAGAAGGUUUUCGGAUCGUAAAACUCGGUUGGUAGAGAAGAACGUUGGUGAGAGUGGAAAGCUCAUCAAGUGACGGUAACUACCCAGAAAGGGACGGCUAACUACGUG